CGGCUACCUCGGCUCCACGGUAACGGAGGCAAAGACCCAGACUGCACUGCGGGGCGACCGCAGCCAAUGGUGCCCGCCCUCGAUCUCUCAUUGGUGUCUGUCUCCAGGUUGCGCUUUCUAUUGGCUUAAGUGGAACCGGAAGGCGGGACGAGAAGGACGAGAGAAGGCGGCCAUUGGUUGGUCGCUCUAGCGGCCCCGGCGAUCUACAGUAGAAAAGUCGUUCGCGCCGCCGCUUCUCAAAGCGGUCGGCCAUUUAGGCUGUGUGGAUCCAGGCGCGAUGCGGGGCGUGCAGGGCCUGGCGUGGUGCGGGGAGUCCGUGAAGUGGACUGUAGAAACUUGUCGACGACUGCCUGGUUGUAGACGUGAAAAUCGUCUCGAGUCCCUUUUUGAAAUCGCUCGGUUUUAAAUUAGAAAUAAGUCAUAAAUAGCUAGUUACUUCUCGGCGUGAGCACUGAAACUGCUGAUUUACAGGCGCGUGCGGACUGCGUGUGCUUCCCGUUAGCCCCCGCCUCGAGGUCCUGGCCUUCGUGAAUCGCGGACGCGCGCGAGUGGCUGGAAAGUGAUUUUUAGGUUUUGGAACCGGAGUGAGGUGGAGUGACAUUUGAAACGUUUGCACACAGUCUUGAAACAUGUGUGGUGCGUCAGUUAUGUAUGGGGAGCUGCUGUAUGGCAUAUUUUCCCCUUUAAAAGAUCGACGAUGCAUUAAAUGGCAUUAAUUGUAGGAGGCAGGGAGGGUAAAAAGAAAAUCGUCUCUUCGGUGAAGGUUAUUUUAAGGCUUUCUGAGCCUUCUGCCUAUCAAGAUGGUUUAACACCGUUCUCCGCUGUUCUCGCCACUGUUAAUUUCUCGAGAACUGGCUUUUACCUCCUCUCUGCAGAGAAUCUAAUUCUCGAAGGCAAAUGCGUUCUAAUGAAUCUUCUGACCAUGAAUUAUGCAUCCUGACUGAACUAGUAUCCUAGAAACGAAUUUUGGAGGUAAAGGUGAAAUGCCUCCUUCCCUAUGUGUGACUGCAUUAGAUGGGUCCAAGUGAAUUGUUACUUGCUGUUACAGACUGAAUCUUUGUGCCCUCUAAAAUUCAUAUGUUAAAAUCUGAUCCCCAUUGUCGUGGUAUGAGGAGAUGGAGCCUUUGGGAGGUAAUUAGGUCAUGAGGAUGGAGCUCUCAUGAACGGGAUUAGUGCUCUUAUAAGAAGGGCCAGAAAGCUAGCUCUCGGCUCUCUGACAUGUGAGGAUACUACGAGAAUACAGCCAUCUGCAAACCAGUUAAGCAGGUCCUCGCACCAGACGCCAGAUCUGCC
rnacentral:lncRNA from 1 species